GUGCUCCCUACAAAAGGAAAUUAUUAGUGUUGCAUUGGUGAAUAUGAGGAUGCUGAGAUUCUCUAUUAUAGUUGCAGGAUGCUGGGAUUGUCUUUUGCAGUUGUUAGCACUGUUGGUGACUUUAUGAUACAAUAAUUUCCAUGAUUUAGUGGCUUGCCUUUUUUUCUUUUAAUUUUUUGUAUACUUGUUGAGAUUUGCUUUAUCAGUUGUAACAUGUUCA
rnacentral:misc_RNA from 1 species